UACGGAGGGUGCGAGCGUUGUCCGGAAUCACUGGGCGUAAAGGGCGCGUAGGCGGCUCGAGUAGUCAACGGUGAAAGCCCGGGGCUCAACCCCGGGUCGGCCGUCGAUACUCUCGUGCUUGAGCACUGUAGAGGCAGGUGGAAUUCCGGGUGUAGCGGUGGAAUGCGUAGAGAUCCGGAAGAACACCGGUGGCGAAGGCGGCCUGCUGGGCAGUAGCUGACGCUGAGGCGCGACAGCGUGGGGAGCAAACAGG
rnacentral:rRNA from 1 species